GUGAGGCCGCCCCAGGCUCAGCACAGCCGCAGCGCUCCGCUGGCCGUCCGUCCCCGCCCUGCAGCGCACACAGCCGCGCACGGCGCCCCAGAGGCACCUCCUGGCAGCCCCGAGCGCUGUGUGACCCGCAGCUCCCUGCGGACGUUCAGCCCCUGCGCCUCACUGCACGCUGCACGAGGGCGCGCCCCUCUGCCUGCGGGUCCCGCUGUCGCCUGCAGAGCUGCUCGUGUCAGCAGCGGAUGGCAAAGGCGGCCGAGGGGUGAUGGGGGCUGCGCACAGCAGGGAGAUCUCACCAGGAAUAUGGAAACGUCGCUUUGGAGGAUGGAUGGCUGACCUCCAUCUGCUGGUGGCAGGAUGCAGCACAGUGGCUGUGCUAAUGCUGUCCUGGCUGCAGUGCCACACUUGGUGCAGCCUCUGCAAUAUUUAGGGUCCUGCCCAGGGCCAAGCAGCUUCUGGCUGGCCUGCAGCCGACCUGUGGGACCCAGUCAGCAGGCCACAGUGCAUGGAAUGCCCUUAGGAAAAACCAACAGGAUCAGUCCUCAAAGCAAAGCACAACUUGCAUUUGCCUUUGCCCCCACAAUAGACAGUAAAUAAAGGCAGUGAUCAAACAGGGCAGGACUUAGGGGGGCUGGGACAUCGCCCUGGGGGGAGCUGCUCCCACAGCAGGCUGCACAGCUCAGCAUGCAGGCGGGUCCUGAAUACUUCCAUUGAAGGAGACCCCACACCUCCCUGGGCAGCCCAUCCCAGUGCUCCAUCACCCUCGCCAUGAAGAAGUUCCUUCACAUUUUGGUGCGGAACUUCCUGUGCUCCAGUGUGUGGCCGUUUCCCCUUGUCCUGUCCCCACAGACCACUGAGAUGAGUCUUCCCCAGGCCGAGCAGCUCCACGUCACGCAGCCUUCCCCCACAGGGAGAUGCUCCAGGCCUUCUCAGCUCUGUUAUCAGGAUGCCAUGGGAGAUAACACCAAAAGCCUUGCUGACAUCCACUUGCACCAAAAGCCUUGCAGAUGACAUCCACUCCUCCCCCCGCACCUACCCGGCUGGUGAUGCCAUCAUAGAAGGCUACGAGAUCUGCAUACUGCUCCCACCCAGCAGCUCCAGGACCCCCCCCUCACCCAGAGGGCAGCUCUCCAUUCCUGGACUCUCCCUGUUCCCCCCGGGGUCCCAAGAGGGUGGUCUUGGAAGUGAGAACUGUACCAAAGAAGGCACUCAGCAUCUCCACCUCCUCAGCACACCUCCCCUUGUUCCACAGGGUACCUUCUUACUUCCUCAUCAACACAGCAAUUGGGGUUUCGUGAGUGGAACAAAUGUGCAACAGCCCCGAGCUGCGAGGAGGAGUCAGGAGAGAGAUUCCGUGCAGUGCUGCAGCACGGUGCAUCCGCAGGGCACUGCCCACAGCACCGUGCACUGCCUGCAGCACCGUGCACUGCCUGCAGCACUGAGCACUACCCGCAGCACCGUGCAUUCCCUGCAGCACCGUUCUCUACCUGCAGCACUGCGCAUGGCUCUCCCUGCAGUGCCCGCAGCGCCAUGAACUGUGUCCUGCUCUGCGUGCACUGUGUGCCACCUAUGCCGUGCACCGCCUGCAGUGCUAUGCAUGGCCCGCACGCCGUGCUGCCUGCAGCUGCUUGCACCGCCCAGGGGAGAUUGCAGAGGGCAGAGCGCUGCUCAUUGUGCUCCUGUCCCCACUGCCGGCAUGCAGCCGCGCUGGAGCGGAGCUGCUCUGGAAGAACCAAAGGACAGUUCCCCCCCACCCCCGCCCUGUGCUCGGAGCUCAUCUCCCCGCUGCCGAUCAGCACAUUCAGUGCUUAAAAGGAAACGAGUCCGCUGUGCUGAUGGGAGAGCCCGGGAGGCGCCGUGCGACCCUGCUUGGCAGCUCCGGGAAGGGCACCGUGUCAGAGCUCCCCGUGCACAAUGCACAGCGCAGCGUGUACAAUGCACGAUGCAGGACGCAGGGAGAGCGGAGUGCCAUCUCUGUUGGGGACGGCCCCGUUUCCGUGGCAACCGAGAGGCUCCGGCGGCGGCCGCGUGGCCCCGGCAGAGGGCACUGCGCGUCCGUGGAUGCGGCGCGGCCGUGCGGGGAGGGACGGGGAGGAGGGAGAGGGACUGGGGGCACUGGGAGCACUGGGAGCAUUGGGGGCACUGGGAGCUGUGAGGGCAACAGAGACACUGAGAGCACUGGGGGCACUGGGAGCAAUGGGGCUGCAGGAGCAGUGGGGGCACUGGGAGCAUUGGGGCACUGGGAGCAAUGGGGAACUGGGAGCAGUGGGGGCACUGGAAACACUGGG
ensembl:lncRNA